rnacentral:rRNA from 1 species
GGGAAUAUUGCACAAUGGGCGCAAGCCUGAUGCAGCCAUGCCGCGUGUAUGAAGAAGGCCUUCGGGUUGUAAAGUACUUUCAGCGGGGAGGAAGGCGAUAAGGUUAAUAACCUUGUCGAUUGACGUUACCCGCAGAAGAAGCACCGGCUAACUCCGUGCCAGCAGCCGCGGUAAUACGGAGGGUGCAAGCGUUAAUCGGAAUUACUGGGCGUA